rnacentral:SRP_RNA from 1 species
UCCCGCAACACUAACUUGUGAACUCGGUCAGGCCCGGAAGGGAGCAGCCGCAGCAGGCGACGUGUGUGCCGGGAUGUGGCUGGGGCCU